UUCCUCCUUCCACCAACCUCGAGAGAUUUAAACAAAUUCAGUGCACAGAAUUUCCUAUAAAUGCCACUGAGAAUUCUCCUCCCAACACAGGAGCAUCACCUGUAAGACAGAGAGGGAGAUCUGUGUGUCACAAUGGGAGCUAUUGUAGCAUUAGCAGUGUUUCUGGGGACUUUAUAUUAUGGUCACUGUGUUGAACUCACACAACCAG